rnacentral:rRNA from 1 species
UACAGAGGGUGCGAGCGUUAAUCGGAAUUACUGGGCGUAAAGCGUGCGUAGACGGUUAAGUAAGUCAGGUGUGAAAGCCCCGGGCUCAACCUGGGAAUUGCAUUUGAGACUGCUUAGCUAGAGUGCGGAAGGGGCUACUGGAAUUCUCGGUGUAGCGGUGAAAUGCGUAGAUAUCGAGAGGAACACCUGCGGCGAAGGCGGGUAGCUGGGCCGACACUGACGCUGAAGCGCGAAAGCUAGGGGAGCGAACGGG